UUAAAGAUAAGGAAGUGUUCAGGUAUGACAAGUCAAAAGGCCAAUAAAGAAUAUGACAGCCCCACACCAGACCUUCAAAUACUUGAAGAUCCAGCUCCAGAGAAGGAAAGACUGGGAAAUGAAAAUGGAGGAAGAGACACAGAGUCUGAGUGGGGUGAGGAAAUUCCUGUAGAAUGGUGGUAAAAGGAAACCUAGAACGAAACUAUGCCAGAUUUGGAAGAAAAAAAAAUGAACGACUUAAGUGGGUUCACAAUAAUGCUGCCUAGCCACUGCAGUUUUUCCAGGAGACCACAUGGUCUUGCAUUUCUUCCAUCCUAUCACCCACUUGAUGAUUCCAUGUUUUCUGUUAAGGGUCAACUUGAUGCCGCCAUGUGUCACUUCUUCUAGCAGAUAAAUCAUCUAAAGGAUUGUUGUUCAGCUCAAGGAUCAUCAAUCAAUGAUGUUUUAUUGGUAACGUGUUUCAGUGAAAGUUUCAGUGAAAACCAACUAGAUGUUUUGGCUCCUUGAAAUAAGACGAAAGAAAAGGUUUAAGAACAAGGAUACCCUUGCUAUGGAUUGAAUAGACCUCAUUGGCUGAAGAAUCUGAACAUUGGUCUCCAGCAGGAGCACCAAUCUACUUCAGAGAAGAUGAUGAGUAUCAAAGAACCCCCAUAUGGAAUUUGCUUUCAAUGUGGCAAAGCUAGUCAUUUGUCCAAGAAAUUGUCCUUGCCUCAACUGCUGACAGUAUGCUGUCCAAAUUGGACAAUCGGGACACAAAGGAAGUCGACUUCCAAACUUUGCCAACACAAGGAGUGCUUGACUGCAAGAGGCCACACAGUAAGAAGCAUAUUUUCACACCAGUCAUUAAGUUUGUUCUGAAGUUGAAGAUAAAAUAAAUAAUGAGUGCAAAGACUUGAAGAUCUGUUAAACAGAGUUUGAAGAUUUUUUCAGAAGAGAUAGAGAGUAAAUAUUUUAAGCUUUAUGGGCUGUACGGUGUGCUUUGACCACUACUGAAUGCUGGCAUUGUCGAAAAGCAGCUACACCAAUAGGCAUAGCCAUCAACAUCACCGUGCCUCCAGCUACUUACAAAACACAUACAUGCAGGUCGAGCCUGCAGGUGGUUGUUUGCUGACCUCUGGUAUCAAGCCCCCUGCUACACAAAGCCUUAAUUUUGUAUUUAGAUCAUUUACCUCACAGAGAUAAUACAGAUGAAGACAUAAUGGAUUUAGGAGCCAUCUUCCAGCUUUAUCACUAACUGUGCCCUCUGUGAAGUGUAAAAGAAGAUAAACAGCAAAACUCUCUUCCAAAGCUUGAAAUGUCUAAAUCUCAUAUCGAUUGGGCAGAUAAUUCAUAUGGAGCGUCUUCUCUCAGACUGCGAAGUCUAAAACAGAUUUUUAACUCUGCAAACCAUUAAAGCUCACCCUUGGAAGGUGGACAUGGGUCCUUAAACCAACAACUGUGAAUGUGGCUUUUUUAUCAAACAGAAAUGAGUUGAUAUCAAAAAGAAAAGCUUACUGAAAUAACCAUAAUGAUACAGCAAGUUUUCUUUCAUGUUUCAUAUUUUAUAUCCAAUCUCAUCUGAAAAGUGUGCAUGGACUUUAGGACAUCAUUCUUUUGAGAUGAAUUAUCUGAUCAUUUCAUUGAGAUAUAUAUUUUAUUAGAAUGACAUGCAUGACACUUAAUCUUGGUUGUCAACUUUAAGGGAUUUAGAGUCGCCAUAGAAACAAAUCUCUGGGCAAGUCUGCAAGCAAAUCUCUCAAUUGAGUUUGUUGAUGCAGGAAGAACUGCCCUAAAUAUAGGCAGUACCAUUCCACAAGCUAGGAUCAGGGACUUGAUAAAAAAAAGCGGGGGCGGGGGGGAGAACCAAUUUGAAUAUAAGCAUUCAUCUCUCUCUCUCUCUGGUUCAUGACUGGGGAUGUGGCUCAGUCAAGCAUCUUACACUCAUGCCAUCAUGAUGGACCAUGUCCCCUCAAACUGUGAGACAGAAUGAGCCCUUCAUCCCCUAAAUUGCUUCCUCUAGGUUAAUUGGUCACAACAAUAAGGGAAGUAGCUGAGACAGAACAACUACUUAAAAGACACAACACGAUCCCACUUAACACAAGGUGCUUUUGGGGAAAGGGAGUUCAAAUGCAUUAAUGGCAAUGAGUAUGCAAAUUUGGAAAAUCAAAUGAGCCAUCAUCAACCAUAGAUUGCACUGAUACCAGUGACUGUUAUAGUGCAUGGAGACAAAGGAGCCAAUAAAAUCAUAAAUUAUAAA